AAUGGGCGCAAGCCUGAUGCAGCCAUGCCGCGUGAGUGAAGAAGGCCUUAGGGUUGUAAAACUCUUUCGCCGGUGAAGAUAAUGACGGUAGCCGGUAAAGAAGCCCCGGCUAACUCCGUGCCAGCAGCCGCGGUAAUACGGAGGGGGCUAGCGUUGUUCGGAAUUACUGGGCGUAAAGCGCACGUAGGCGGAUUGGUCAGUUGGGGGUGAAAUCCCGAGGCUCAACCUCGGAACUGCCCUCAAUACUGCCAAUCUUGAGUUCGAGAGAGGUGAGUGGAAUUCCUAGUGUAGAGGUGAAAUUCGUAGAUAUUAGGAAGAACACCAGUGGCGAAGGCGGCUCACUGGCUCGAUACUGACGCUGAGGUGCGAAAGCGUGGGGAGCAAACAGGAUU
rnacentral:rRNA from 1 species